GCGCACGCAGGCGGUCUGUUAAGUCAGAUGUGAAAUCCCCGGGCUUAACCUGGGAACUGCAUUUGAAACUGGCAGGCUUGAGUCUUGUAGAGGGGGGUAGAAUUCCAGGUGUAGCGGUGAAAUGCGUAGAGAUCUGGAGGAAUACCGGUGGCGAAGGCGGCCCCCUGGACAAAGACUGACGCUCAGGUGCGAAAGCGUGGGGAGCAAACAGGAUUAGAUACCCUGGUAGUCCACGCCGUAAACGAUGUCGACUUGGAGGUUGUUCCCUUGAGGAGUGGCUUCCGGAGCUAACGCGUUAAGUCGACCGCCUGGGGAGUACGGCCGCAAGGUUAAAACUCAAAUGAAUUGACGGGGGCCCGCACAAGCGGUGGAGCAUGUGGUUUAAUUCGAUGCAACGCGAAGAACCUUACCUACUCUUGACAUCCAGCGAACUUAGCAGAGAUGCUUUGGUGCCUUCGGGAACGCUGAGACAGGUGCUGCAUGGCUGUCGUCAGCUCGUGUUGUGAAAUGUUGGGUUAAGUCCCGCAACGAGCGCAACCCUUAUCCUUUGUUGCCAGCGAUUCGGUCGGGAACUCAAAGGAGACUGCCGGUGAUAAACCGGAGGAAGGAGGGGAUGACGUCAAGUCAUCAUGGCCCUUACGAGUAGGGCUACACACGAGCUACAAUGGCGCAUACAAAGAGAAGCGACCUCGCGAGAGCAAGCCGACCUCACAAAGUGCGUCGUAGUCCGG
rnacentral:rRNA from 1 species